rnacentral:rRNA from 1 species
CCUACGGGGGGCAGCAGUGGGGAAUAUUGCACAAUGGGGGAAACCCUGAUGCAGCGACGCCGCGUGAGUGAAGAAGUAAUUCGUUAUGUAAAGCUCUAUCAGCAGGGAAGAAAAUGACGGUACCUGAGUAAGAAGCCCCGGCUAACUACGUGCCAGCAGCCGCGGUAAUACGUGGGGGGCAAGCGUUAUCCGGAUUUACUGGGUGGAAAGGGAGCGUAGACGGCAGUGCAAGUCUGGAGUGAAAGGCGGGGGCUCAACCCCCGGACUGCUCUGGAAACUGUACGGCUGGAGUGCAGGAGAGGUAAGUGGAAUUCCUGGUGUAGCGGUGAAAUGCGUAGAUAUUAGGAGGAACACCAGUGGCGAAGGCGGCUUACUGGACUGUAACUGACGUUGAGGCUCGAAAGCGUGGGGAGCAAACAGGAUUAGAUACCCGAGUAGUC